UACGUAGGGCGCAAGCGUUGUCCGGAAUUAUUGGGCGUAAAGAGCUCGUAGGCGGUCUGUCGCGUCCGUUGUGAAAACUCGAGGCUCAACCUCGGGCUGCAGUGGAUACGGGCAGACUAGAGUGCGGUAGGGGAGACUGGAAUUCCUGGUGUAGCGGUGGAAUGCGCCAGAUAUCAGGAGGAACACCAAUAGCGAAGGCAGCUCGCUGGGACGUUACUGACGCUAAGGCGCGAAAGCGUGG
rnacentral:rRNA from 1 species